CCCAAUUCGGAGCACUCACACAAGUCAAACGAAUCGGAAAAUGCACCCAAGAAUGGUUUGAAUAGCAUAGUGUGAGUGCACCCUAAGUAAAUAUGGCAUAACAACACCAUUGAGUCAGCGAUUUCGGACCAGGUGCUAUUUAAAGGAAAUUAUACAGAAAAACAGAUUGUUUAAAGAGAAUGACAGUGAUAAGCACUGAACUACAGACCAAAGCUACAUCAAUGUAAGGUAGACACUAGAUGCCAAAUACAAAAACUAGCAGAACACACACACACACACACACACACACACACACACUAUAGAACCACCUGACAUAAGCACAAUUAUCUGAAUAAAAACACACAGACAGGAGAUCAAUACAAAUCGAUCAGCUUCGUAAGAGAUGCAUGCACAAACAAAAUACCAUCACAUUCAAUAAGCAAAAGACUUUAACACAUUGAUUUUCUUUUAACCUGCUCAAACCCACUUUUAGAUCAUAAAAACUAUGAGGUUUUAAAUGUCAAAUCCUGAAUUGAUCAAGAAGAAAGCAUCAUUGGAGAUGUAGCACAGCUUGACUUCCUUCUCUGAUGGUAGGAUCAUGGGAGUAAGCAACAACAAUACCAACCUGAAACAUAGAUGAACGCGCGUGACUUGAAAAUUGAGACUGUAUAAAAAGACAUGUCUCAACAGGCUGUUUAAAACUGCAGGAUGAAACGAAAGGGCAACAGUGAAGAUCUAAGAGGGGAAAAAUGGACUUUCAACCAACUAUUCCGACAACGAUGUCCCAAAGGAGAGGAAAACAAACAAGUCAGCACAGAUAAGACAGGAUUCUUCUUCUAUCUGCUCCUUUCCACCUAUACAACCCAAUCAGGGCUUAUUGUAAAAACACAGACAAACUUUAAAAACACCUACAGCUGCUCUAGAGAAGGUAAUGAGGUGUUGCUCUGGACUUUUCUACAAACCUCUUUGAAAUAACAGAUUUAUCAAGAGAACUAAACAUGGCAUGCAUACAGGGCUCAAGACGGCUUGCAUGGAUCCCCAACUGCACCUGAUUUCGAGACACCUGUUUCAGUCUAUAAAAUUCCAUUGUGGCUUACUGAUAUAAUGCACUGUAUAUAAAUAAAAUAACAAUCCCACAUGAGCCAAGCUGGCCUUUACAUCUCUUACAUCAAAGCAGCAGAGAGCAGUGGAACCUCUGAGACGCUUUCAGCUGUUUGAGUGACAGCACCUUCUCUCUGAUGUGACGUGGAGAGCUCAUCCUCUGCCUUCAUAAUAGCAGUGCAGGCAUCAUAGUCAGAGUGUGCAGAAAGCCUGGAAAAGAGUGAAAGAAAGGAGGGUGGAGACUGCUCGUGUGGGCGAAGCCGAGGUGGUUAAAUGUGUUCCACAUGUUCGCAAAAGAGUCCGAGGCUUUUCAAGCCAGUGGGCAGAUGAAUGGUUGGAAAGGG